CGAUUACUCCCUCCGUUUGGAAUUACUUGUCUCGGAAAUGGAUGUAUCUAGAUGUUCUAGAUACAUCCAUUUCCGAGACAAGUAAUUCCAAACGGAGGGAGUAAAAU
rnacentral:pre_miRNA from 1 species